rnacentral:rRNA from 1 species
AGUGAACGCUGGCGGCGUGCCUAAUACAUGCAAGUCGAACGAACGAAUAAGAGCUUGCUCUUAUAAGUUAGUGGCGCACGGGUGAGUAAUAUAUAGCUAAUCUGCCUCUUAGUAGAGGAUAACAGUCGGAAACGAUUGCUAAUACUCUAUACUUCUGCUUUACAUAAGUAAAGUAGAGAAAGUUUUUCGCUAAGAGAUGAGGCUAUACUGUAUCAGCUAGUUGGUAAGGUAACGGCUUACCAAGGCUAUGACGCAUAACUGGUCUGAGAGGAUGAUCAGUCACAUUGGAACUGAGACACGGUCCAAACUCCUACGGGAGGCAGCAGUAGGGAAUAUUGCGCAAUGGGGGAAACCCUGACGCAGCAACGCCGCGUGGAGGAUGACACUUUUCGGAGCGUAAACUCCUUUUAUCGGGAAAGAAUAAUGACGGUACCCGAUGAAUAAGCACCGGCUAACUCCGU